CCUACGGGUGGCAGCAGUGAGGAAUAUUGGUCAAUGGGCGCGAGCCUGAACCAGCCAAGUAGCGUGAAGGAUGACUGCCCUACGGUUUUUAAACUUCUUUUACAAAGGAGUAAAAUGAGGCACGUGUGCCUUUUUGUGUGUACUUUAUGAAUAAGCAUCGGCUAACUCCGUUCCAGCAGCCGCGGUAAUACGGAGGAUCCGAGCGUUAUCCGGAUUUAUUGGGUUUAAAGGGGGCGUAGAUGGGUUGUUAAGUCAGUUGUGAAAGUUUGUGGCUCAACCGUAAAAUUGCAAUUGAUACUGGCAGGCUUGAGUGCAGUUGAGGUAGGCGGAAUUCGUGGUGUAGCGGUGAAAUGCUUAGAUAUCACGAAGAACUCCGAUUGCGAAGGCAGCUUACUAAACUGCAACUGACAUUGAUGCUCGAAAGUGUGGGUAUCAAACAGGAUUAGAUACCCUAGUAGUC
rnacentral:rRNA from 1 species